AGAAUGGCUGGCUGUAAUUCUGGGGCUCAUUUGUUGCAGGUGUGUUUCCUCACACCUGCGACUCAUCAGGCUCGUUCCUUCCUGGAUAAGAGGCUCUUGUGCAAGUCAAUCCUCGUCUGAGUUUUAACCUAUGUGGUUAUUUCUGAACCACUGUUUCCAAAUCUAUGGGUUUUCCAUGGACUACACCUAAACUCAUCAGAACAAACCUGUUGUCUCCUGGAUCAUAUCACCACGACUGGUAACAGUCAUGGCCGGAUUAACCAUAUGGGCAAUUGGGCAACUGCCCAGGGGCCCACGGUCUCUAAAGGGCCCUGGGCAGUGAAGGCACGGACACAACGGAUGCGGGAUGUGCGUGGGACAUGUCUCCCUGAGUCCCCGCACUUCCUGCAUCUGUGCUCUCUGUCCCCGCACUUUUCUCAGCCGUAACAGCUGUUUUAUCCAUUAUUAACAUACGGUAAUGCGUUUUCCUGAGCCGUCUUUUAACGCACCAUAAGCGUGCGCAGGGUACUCCUGCAGAUGACGGAUAGGAGACGUUCUUCUGACCACCCGCCUUCUGAGCAGAGCCUCACGGUGUAAAGAGCAACUAAAACUUGGCACAGUUUUUACCAAACAAACCAUAACAAGGUCAGGGAGGAGACAGCAGGGAUCAUAAUGCAGACUUUCCUCAGGUAAGGAGAAAUUAUGACUAUUAUUCUUGAAGUGGAACAGUCUUUAAAAACUGGUGUAUAGUUUGAAGUCUCUACUUUUGACAUAAUUUAUAACAGAGUCUCAGAAAAUUAACUACAGAAAGAUGGAGGUUAAACCACAACUGGAUCACAUGUUGUUGUUGAGAAACCAGACAGGUAUCAGGACAGGGUUUCCACAGAUAUUUCAGAACUCUUCAUACUCAAAAAUA